CAGUCGCCGCGGUAAUACGUAGGUGGCAAGCGUUAUCCGGAAUUAUUGGGCGUAAAGCGCGCGUAGGCGGUUUUUUAAGUCUGAUGUGAAAGCCCACGGCUCAACCGUGGAGGGUCAUUGGAAACUGGAAAACUUGAGUGCAGAAGAGGAAAGUGGAAUUCCAUGUGUAGCGGUGAAAUGCGCAGAGAUAUGGAGGAACACCAGUGGCGAAGGCGACUUUCUGGUCUGUAACUGACGCUGAUGUGCGAAAGCGUGGGGAUCAAACAGGAUUAGAGACCCCCGUAGUCCCUGUCUCUUAUAC
rnacentral:rRNA from 1 species